UGCUGUAAUAGAGGUGAGGAGAUGCUUUUGUGUAAUACACAUAUGUUUGAAUGUGUUAGUGCACCGCUUGUGUUUUAACGCAGCAACCCUUUGCAUAUUGACUAUGUGUGACGUCAUACAGUUUGUUAUCGAACGUUUCUUGGGAUUCGUUGCUAGCAACCCUUCUGUUACCAAGGACGAAAUCUUGAACGAAGGGAAUAGAGGCAUGGAAAACAAGGACCUUACGGAACUGAUGGAAGUGCUGGAAUUAUUCCACUUUUCACGAAUACUUUGUGUGAGCUAACAAGUUUAUGGCCGUAGUGCUGAAAGUCUCUAUAAUUGUAAAAGUUUUUUAACUCGCAUAUUUCUCAGGAAUACAGAUAUUCAAUGAUUAAGGUCCUGAAUAAACUUUCAAAAAAUUUA